GUGACCCCAGAAACGAAAGAGAAAGAGAGAGAAGCAGGCAGGAGAACAUGCAAAGACGGAGAGACAAAGACAAACAGCCACAUCACUUACUGCCGUAUUUACUAGACCUAAUUUCUGGGGUAAAUGAUAGUAGACAGAAAAAACAUUUUAAAAGAUACAAAAAAGCAGUGUAUUACUCUCAAACAGAAAAACAGAGUUGAGUAAAUGAGGCUGGCAGAGCAAUGCCAGGGGGUUGUUGUGUCCCUGCUGGAACUGUCCUGUCAUUGUUUUAGGAUGCGAUAGCAACUGUAGACAGUAGCAUUUUUCAAAUGGAGAUAGGAUCAAUGUUUAAUACCCAUGUUAAUAUGUUAACAUACAGUGCAAUGCCUACUUCUGAAUGUCACUUUGUUAACUGUAAUGUGUUGCAUUCCUACGUGGUAUUCGUUCUAGCUUACAUGCUAACAAGCAACACAAAUUUGACAUUGAAGAAUCUAUGAACUAUGAAGAGCUGUAAAGUUCACAGGUCACAGACUCUUGACCAAUUGCAACCAGGAUUUCGAUGCAUUUUUUUUUUUUUCAAUUGGUUACUUGAAGCCAAUUGGAAUCCACUCGACUCAAACCUGAUUCGGAUCCAAACCAUCUUAAAAAGCUCCAUUCCCACUGUCUACUUUUCAAGUCCCCGGAACGAAACCCACUAACAAUCAUACAGGCAUGAGCUGAAGCAAGGUGUCCAGGCAACACAGCCCUGAGAGCCAACCAGGAGCAAACUGAUCCUUCUCGUUCCCUCCUCCCCAGGGUCUGGACGGUGAUGUAGCUGGUGAAGUUCUCCUGGCCAAGCGUGUUCUCCACCACACACGUGUAGUUCCCAGAGUCUUCUAGCCGCACACGGCUGAUCUGGACUUUUGAGUUUUUCCUUCAGAUAGAAAGAAAAGAGAGAGAUUGACAACGGGAAAAAAAAAGAAAUGUAGAAAUAUAGAAGCCGGAGAAGAUGGAGCAGGAAGACAGGGAAGGAUACCUUGUAAAAACAAAAAGACAAUUUUUAAAUUUAAAUGAAAUAAAAAAGAAUUCUGAAAUAAAUGCAGUGGUGAUUGGCUGUGGGAGGC